rfam:Heterocephalus glaber contig53206, whole genome shotgun sequence.
GGGAAUGUAGCUCAGUGGCAGAGCAUUUGCCUAGUAUGUGUGAGGCCCUGGGUUUGACACCCAGCACCACCA